UACGGGGGGGGCGAGCGUUGUUCGGAAUCAUUGGGCGUAAAGGGUGCGUAGGUGGUGCUGUAAGUCUGACGUGAAAUCUCUGGGCUUAACCCAGAAUCCGCGCCAGGAACUGCAGUGCUAGAGUGUGGGAGAGGAGAGUGGAAUUCCCGGUGUAGCGGUGAAAUGCGUAGAUAUCUGGAGGAACACCGGUGGCGAAGGCGGCAUCCUGGACCGACACUGACGCUGAGGAGCGAAAGCCAGGGGAGCAAACGGG
rnacentral:rRNA from 1 species